rnacentral:rRNA from 1 species
CAACUUGAGAGUUUGAUCCUGGCUCAGAACGAACGCUGGCGGCAGGCCUAACACAUGCAAGUCGAACGCUCCGCAAGGAGAGUGGCAGACGGGUGAGUAACACGUGGGAAUCUUCCUAUCGGUACGGAAUAGCUCAG